UUAGGAAUCUUGCGCAAUGGGCGAAAGCCUGACGCAGCGACGCCGCGUGGAGGACGAAGUCCCUCGGGAUGUAAACUCCUUUUAUCAGGGACGAAGGAUGUGACGGUACCUGAGGAAUAAGCCCCGGCUAACUACGUGCCAGCAGCCGCGGUAAUACGUAGGGGGCGAGCGUUGUCCGAAGUUACUGGGCGUAAAGCGCGCGUAGGCGGGCCGGUAAGUGAGAAGUGAAAGGCUGGGGCUCAACCGCAGCAGUGCUUCUCAUACUGUCGGUCUUGAGGGCGGUAGGGAGAGGUGGAAUGGCUGGUGUAGCGGUGAAAUGCGUAGAUAUCAGUCGGAACACCGGUGGCGAAGGCGGCCUCUUGGGCCGUUCCUGACGCUGAUGCGCGAAAGCCAGGGGAGCGAACGGG
rnacentral:rRNA from 1 species